AUGCGCCCACCAGCAGCCACGCUUGGGGCUGGGGGCUUUGAGGACACGCACGCUGCCUUAAAUAUAAUGGACAUCCGUAUGGAUUAAGACUCUAUACAAGCUUUCUCUUUAGUACACCAGGGGAAAGUGAAAAAAGAACCACAUUUGAAUUCGGCUUUGUCACUACAAGUGGGUGACCAUGAGCAAGUUACUAACCUCAGUGAACCUGUUCCUAACCUAAAAAGGAGGAGAAUGGAGAGCAGGUAAUAAUACCUUAUGAGAUGGUUGUGAGAGUUAUAUAGCAUUCUUUAUGUCAUAGUCCUAGCAAAGUGCUGGCAUAAAAUAGGUGCUCCCUAAAUGUUAAUUACCUACCUUCCUUUCCCUUUCUGUCAGAUUUUCUCUACUAUUCUUAUGAAAUAAUAAAGAGUUUUUGUAAUUAAA
rnacentral:lncRNA from 1 species